UUGCAUUUGGGUUUCUUGUGGUAAGAUGUGUGUGUUUAUUUUUAAUGAUUUGUGUAUACAUGUAUGUGAUAGUCUUGAAGAUCUGUUUUCUUGUCAUUAUAAAGUAACUUAUUGAUGUUAAGGAAAUGUUACUUGACAUGGAUUGGGGGCCUUUAGAGGUGUUCCAAAUAUACUGAAUAUAAUAGCAUUUUUAGCUACAUUUUUUACAAAAGGAAAUCAGUCCCGCUGUAUGCAAUUCAGGCAGCCUUGUUUGCUGCUGUCAUACCAGACAGAACACUAUAGGAAAAUGUCACUGUCACACAUGUAUUGCUAUGUCUUUGAACAUUGCAACAAUAUAUUGUUGACGAUGGAUUAAAUUCUUAACCUUAAAUGGAUAUAUCUUCUCUUAACAGUUAUUUUGUGCAUUUUGUAGAGGAUUCAUAUACAGGUCAUAAGUGGGAAAAAGAACUGUGAUGUAUAACCACAAAGAAAACAGAGCACAAAGGAAAGGAAACUAUUCUCUCAAAAUUUUUUUAAUCCUCAAUUGUCAAAUAAUAAAGCUCUAAUGUUAAAGAACCUUUCAUAAGACUCUAUAGUCAUAUAGAGAAAUUCUA
rnacentral:misc_RNA from 1 species